rnacentral:sRNA from 1 species
UAGGAGUGACUCACGCAAACCAGGUGCGC